GUCUACUGCCAUUCCACCUGAACGCGUCCAAUCUCAUCUGAUCUCAGAAACUAAGGAGGGCCAGGCCUGGUUAGUAUCUGGGUAGGAGAAAGGAGUGCAGGGGUCU
ensembl:rRNA 5S_rRNA 5S ribosomal RNA